GAUGAACGCUGGCGGCGUGCCUAAUACAUGCAAGUCGAGCGAACAGACGAGGAGCUUGCUCCUCUGACGUUAGCGGCGGACGGGUGAGUAACACGUGGAUAACCUACCUAUAUGACUGGGAUAACUUCGGGAAACCGGAGCUAAUACCGGAUAAUAUAUUGAACCGCAUGGUUCAAUAGUGAAAGACGGUUUUGCUGUCACUUAUAGAUGGAUCCGCGCCGCAUUAGCUAGUUGGUAAGGUAACGGCUUACCAAGGCAACGAUGCGUAGCCGACCUGAGAGGGUGAUCGGCCACACUGGAACUGAGACACGGUCCAGACUCCUACGGGAGGCAGCAGUAGGGAAUCUUCCGCAAUGGGCGAAAGUCUGACGGAGCAACGCCGCGUGAGUGAUGAAGGUCUUCGGAUCGUAAAACUCUGUUAUUAGGGAAGAACAAAUGUGUAAGUAACUAUGCACGUCUUGACGGUACCUAAUCAGAAAGCCACGGCUAACUACGUG
rnacentral:rRNA from 1 species